UGGGGAAUCAUGGUCAAUGGGCGAAAGCCUGAACCUGCGACGCCGCGUGAGUGAUGAAGGUCGUAAGAUCGUAAAACUCUUUUCAGGGAUCUUAAAGCACAACCGUCAACAACGGCUGUGUGUGACUCUCCCUGGAAGAAGCCCCAGCCAACUACGUGCCAGCAGCUGCGGUAAUACGUAGGGGGCGAGCGUUAUUCGGAAUUACUGGGUGUAAAGGGUAUGUAGGCGGCCCUUCAAGUCGGGUGUCAAAGCCCGGGGCUUAACGCUGGGUG
rnacentral:rRNA from 1 species